rnacentral:lncRNA from 1 species
CCGGAAGCGAGGAGAUAAAACUGGAACACAAAUAUUCUCAGUCAUAUUUUACUUGUUUAUCAUUUCAUUUUACUCAUACAUAUACGUUGUUUGCUUUUACUUUUCCAAUUCACCAUGAGUCGAUUUAAAACAUGGAAAUACAAGAAUGCAGCACCCAAGAUACCGGACGCAAAGGUAAAAUACGGUUGAUUAACUUGAUUUAUAGCUAUAAACGUACUUUGGCUGUAUUGGUAUAUCCGUGUAUGCUAGCCUGGAAAAUUUAUACAUGAUGUUUUUAUGGUUAUCUGCGUUGCUGCUUUGCGAGAGACCAUGGCUUUUAUUAACGUAUUGUGAAGUGUGGCUUGGUGGACGUUUUUAGCCGCAGGAAAUAUGUGAUCGACAUGACAAAAUAUAUUUUUGAAAUUAUUUUAGCCAUUGAGGUGGGGCUAUAUAUGCCCAAUUCUGGAUUUUUGACGGCUUUUUGACAUGUAUGGAAGAAUUGUGGUUAGUUUCAUCCAGUUAAUGCCUGAGAUAGUCGGACAAGCAAGGUGUAGAGUUGGCAAUGCUGUCCAUUGUACAUUCCAUGUAAACAAUAUGUGGCAAUAGUCUAUUUCUUGGUGUUUCAGGGACUCACUACAUGUAUUACUGCAGGGCUUGAAAUAUUAAACAGCCAAUCAAUGAUCGGCAUGAAAUUGUUUAUCAUUGUCAAAAAAACAGGGUUUUCAACCAGGAAAAGUUGCGGCCGAGUUCCAGGAGAAUGAUAAUCUUAAGUAAUGCAAACCUUAAUCAGGAUCUUAACCCAUUGAGCCGCAAUGCGCCCUACUUAUUUUUUUUUUACUUGUCUAACGCCAGACGAUUUUACUCGUCAGCAGGGAAGCUCUGCAGCUUAAUGUGUUAAGUAUAUACCUUAAUACUUGUAUUAAAAUUUGUGUCGUAUACAUCAUUUCCCCUCAGCUUUAAAUUUGCGGAUUUAAUUUCACACACCUUGUUGAGACUUAUUCGCACAGCUUUAAAUUUACGCAAGUAAUUUUCUGUGUUCGUUUAAUAGAACUUUUAUUUAACAGAACGAUUAACAAUUAACGCAUUUAUAAUGAGUAUUUUUUAUCAACAAAUAGUUUUUUCAAUAUUUGUCAAAACUUAAUCAAAAAGCAAUUAGGUGACCUCAAAAAUGGCUUCAAAAUUAUGCAAUGUAAGCAAAAUUCAUGAUAACAAUAAAGCAUGAGUUCAAAAUACCAACAAGAACUAAACGUUUUCCUAAUACAAUAACAUAAUGCAAAUAAUAAUGCAAAUUAGUUAAUAAAUCAACUGAUUUGCAUUACUAACACUUGAUGAGUAUCUCAUAUUACACCACAAAGCUUUUCGUGUGGAUUAUAUUUCGCGCAGUAAGAGGUGUAACUUAACACUUGCUUGCUUGCCCGGGGCAAGUGAAUAUCAUGACUGGCAAGUAAACAUUUUAUCUUGCUUGCCCCGAUUGGGCAAGUUGCCUUGCCACAAAAACCUGGACAUCUUUAAAUUUAUGUUUUCAUUUUCAGAUAUAAUUUUUUUAUAGUGCAUGUACUUGAUUGAAAUUUUGUUUUUUGUGGGCCACAGCUAGAUCUGAGGCAGUAUAACAUAACAUAGCCAUAUAGAGCAGACGAGCAGUGGGAGAAUGGGUUGACAUGUUGUCCCCUUAAUUUAUACCUUAAUUUAUCACAACUUGUUAAGAAGCUCACUACAAGCCUAUUGAGGAGACAUCUUGUUGAGAAGUUGUUAGAACAGCAUUGUCACAACUUGUUAACAAGCUUGCUACAAUCCUCUUGCAGAGACAUCUUGUUGAUCAAGUUGUCGGAACAGCAUUAUCACAACUUGUCAACAAACUUGCUACAAACCUGUUGCAAAAAGUCUUGUUGAGAAGUUGUUAGAACAGCAUUGUCACAACUUGUUAACAAGCUUGCUACAAUCCUCUUGCAGAGACAUCUUGUUGAUCAAGUUGUCGGAACAGCAUUAUCACAACUUGUCAACAAACUUGCUACAAACCUGUUGCAAAAAGUCUUGUUGAGAAGUUGUUAGAACAGCAUUGUCACAACUUGUUAACAAGCUUGCUACAAUCCUCUUGCAGAGACAUCUUGUUGAUCAAGUUGUCGGAACAGCAUUAUCACAACUUGUCAACAAACUUGCUACAAACCUGUUGCAAAAAGUCUUGUUGAGAAGUUGUUAGAACAGCAUUGUCACAACUUGUUAACAAGCUUGCUACAAUCCUCUUGCAGAGACAUCUUGUUGAUCAAGUUGUCGGAACAGCAUUAUCACAACUUGUCAACAAACUUGCUACAAACCUGUUGCAAAAAGUCUUGUUGAGAAGUUGUUAGAACAGCAUUGUCACAACUUGUUAACAAGCUUGCUACAAUCCUCUUGCAGAGACAUCUUGUUGAUCAAGUUGUCGGAACAGCAUUAUCACAACUUGUCAACAAACUUGCUACAAACCUGUUGCAAAAAGUCUUGUUGACAAGUUGUUGGAACAGCAUUGUCACAACUUGUUAACAAGCUUGCUACAAACCUGCAGUAUUGCAAACACAUCUUGUUGACAAUUAGUUGUUGGAACGGCAUUGUCACAACUUGUCAACAAGCUUACUACAAGCCUGUUGAGGAGACAUCUUGUUGACAAGUUGUUGCAACAGCAUUGUCAGAACUUGUUAGGCCAAAAAAAAUAUGUGGGUUUCCGGUUUCCCAACCCUACCUAGCUUUUGGACGUCGAAAUCCCGACCCCAAACUUUUUUAUUGGAUCAUGCUCAGUGUGACCAGAUUUUUUCAGCAGUCAUUACCAAAAUUUUGUUCAAAUUUUACUAAAUUAAGAAAAAUUUUACCAAAUAUCGGCUUUCCAAAUAAUUACGUCAUAAUAAUGCCAAAAAACAAUAGUUGCAUCAUCAAAGUAGAAAAAAUAUGCACAAAAGUCAAAAAGCAUCUCGAAAUACUUCUUGCUUUCAUCCGUUGCAGUUUUUGCUAAUGAUAAGGCUUUAUUUCUUAGGCUUGGCAGUUCUGUUCAUCACUUUGAGCAUGUUAUUAAACAAGAAACACACAUUUUUACCAAAAUGAUUAUUAAUCAUUAAAACCUUUCAGAUUUUACCAAAGUUUUACCAAAAAAAACUUAUUUACCAAAUUUUCUUGAAAAUUCACAAAAUUUUACCAAAAGUAAAACUUUUUACCAAAUCAGGUCACACCACUGAGGGUCACACUGAUCAUGCUUGCAAGUGUUUCCACUUAGAGGAAAAAGUUUGUGGAAAAUUGAAAUUUGAGGCAAUAUUAGCGAAAUUUAUCUUUGGAUGUGGAAGCACUGACUAAACAAAAUGGCGUCCGCUUGUUCGGAAAAUUAAAAAGAAAGUUUAAAAAAAAAAGUUAAAAACUUAAAACCGACCUACCCUACCUAAGGUUUUAUAAGAAGAAACCGGAAACCCGCAUAUUUUUUUUGGCCUUAGCAAGCUUUCUACAAGCCUGUUGAGGAGACAUCUUGUUGACAAGUUUUUUGAACAGCGUUGUCACAACUUGUUAACAAGCUUGCUACAAACCUAUUGCAAACACAUCUUAUUGACAAGUUGUUGGAUCAGCAUUGUCACAACUUGUUAACAAGCUUGCUACAAACCUGUUGCGAAAAAUCUUGUUGACAAGUUGUUGGAACAGCAUUGUCACAUCUUGUUAAGACUGUUAACAAGCUUGCUACAAACCUGUCUUUUGACACGUUUUUGGAACAGCAUUGUUACAACUUGUUAACAAGCUUGCUACAAACCUGCAGUAUUGCAAACACAUCUUGUUGACAAGUUGUUGGAAGGGCAUUGUCACAACUUGUGAACAAGCUUGCUACAAGCCUGUUCAGGAGACAUCUUGUUGACAAGUUGUUGCAACAGCAUUGUCAGAACUUGUUAACAAGCUUGCUACAAUCCUCUUGCGGACGAGACAUCUUGUUGACAAGUUGUUGGAACUUCAUUGUUACAACUUGUUAACAAGCUUGCUACAAACCUAUUGCAAACACAUCUUGUUGACAAGUUGUUGGAACAUCAUUGUCACACUUGUAACAAGCUAGCUACAAACCUACAGCAUUGUUGUUAACAAGCUAGCUGCAAACCUACAGCAUCCUGUUCACAAGUUGUUGGAACAGCAUUGUCACAACUUGUUAACAAGCUUUCUACAAGCUUAUUGAGGAGACAUCUUGUUGACAAGUUGUUGGAACAGCAUUGCAUAGCCAGAAAUCUCAUACAACAUGGCGACGAGUAUGCGCAGAAAACGCUAUUGCGGCGCUAAAUAUGGCCGCGAAAUGAGUGUAAAAUGUAUUAACAAUUUGAAAUUUCUAGCUGCCUGUCUUUGCCAUACGAAAGCUGACCUUUCCCAGCGUCAAAAUCAAUAAAACACUCCUUGAAGAAUAUUUAUAGCGAACAAAAUUUGAAAAUAAGAUCAUUCUAGACGGUGCCUUUUUCAACUUUUGUUGAGAUGGUUACCUCAGUACUAUUCUUAAUAAUUUAUCAAUUUAACGCUAACCUUUGUUCAAACUUGGUCUGCUUAGACAGAAUCACCCCAUCGAUGAAUCUCCCCCAACGUCACAUUCAAAAGAUAAGACGUUAAACUAUCUAAAAAUAUAUUUUUUAACCAGAUAUUCAACCGUUGAAGCGGUGCCAUUUCCAGCUAAAGAUCGUAAUAAUUUUAAACGUUAAAUAUAAAACUGAAGACGCACGGCUAGCACAAAAUAUCUUUAAAACUAGUUCAUUCUGCUGUUCACGACAAUUAGCUAUAGUGUUUAACUUGACAUAAACUUUCGUUCUCCCUCGGUGGCUUAGUGGUAUAGGUCGUUUGGCCUGUGUCGACAAACCUUUGAGUUCGAGUCGCGUCGAGUUCAUAUUUUCAAUAUUUUUUCCUUUUAUUUCUAUCCAGCUGUUUUUAUUCUUUUUACAUCUUUAUAUGAGAAAUCGCUUUGCAAGUAGUUGGAAAUAUUGGUAUGUUGAACCUGGCUCGAAGAAAAUAUACAAAAUAUUAUCAAAACAAGAGUAUUAAGCUAUUAUGAGGAACAAUUUGGAGACAUUGAGUGAGUUUACGAGGUACUUCAUCUUACAACGUCAUAUUGGCGCUUGCGUGAGUCCGCGAGAUGAACCGCUUGCCGUCGCAGAUUUCUGGCUAUGGUCACAACUUGUUAACAACCUUGCUUCAAACGUAUUGCAAGCACAUCUUGUUGACAAGUUGUUGGAACAUCAUUGUCACAACUUGUUAACAAGCUUGCUACAAACCUAUUGCGAACACAUCUUGUUGACAAGUUGUUGGAACAGCAUUGUCACAACUUGUGAACAAGCUUGCUACAAGCCUGUUGUCGUUUUGAGGAGACAUCUUGUUGACAAGUUGUUUGAACAGCAUUGUCACAACCUUUUAACAAGCUUGCUACAAACUAGACUUUCCAAAAUCCUUUCCAGACGCUUCUUUGGCGCGCUUCACUUCUUCUGUGGAAAGGACUUUUGUCACUUGCAGCGCGCCAAGUAUCACCGAUGGAGAAAUCCACUGGUCACGUCAUUGUUUACAGGUUUUACAUUGAAGGCCGAAGCGGUUUACAUUAUCGGUCAUUAUCGAAGGAGUCUAAAAAUAAUAUUAUAUUGUCAGGCUUUUUUGUUGAACAAAUGUGUAUUAUUGAAGCAAACAGAGUAAACAAUGUAAAUACAAUUUUGAAGAACACAAAAACCAUGUGAAAAUACACAAACAAGCAUUACAUUGAGUAUAAUAUUAUUUAAAAGAACAGGGUGUAGAAAUAAACUUUAUUAGUAUAAUUACAUAGGUGAUUAUUGAAAAUUCUCCACGCUGAGUGGUUGCCGUUGAGGUGAUUAUUACGCGAUAAUCGCCUGAGCGAUUUUCAAAAUGGCGGCCGAAGCCUUUUUGUCAAUUAAAUAACGAAGAAAUGUGUAUUUUCUUAUUUUUUCCAAAUAAUCACCUAUGAAAUUAUACUAAAACAAUUAUUCACCUCAGGCUCGGUGAUUAUCGUGAAUAAAAACCUCGACUUCGUCUCGGUUUUUAUUCACCGAUAAUCACUUCGGCGAAUAAUUGUUAAUCAAUACUGUCACCGAAGAUGCAUCUAAUGAUUCUAAAAUUUCCUCCCUAGUUUCUGGUUUAGUUUUGGUUUCUUGAUCUCAAUUACUGAUUAUUAAUACAAAAUCGUUCGUUGAGAAAACAACGCGGAUUUUGAACUCUGGCGACGUCUUCUCGUUGAUCACAAUCGCCGCCUCUCUGCUUUUCCGUUACAGUUGUCUGACUCUUUUCAAUUUGAUUAACUUCUACUACGUUAAAUCGCUUGCGAUCUUAAUCAACUUUCUAUAAUAAGUCUAAUAAAUUACUAUUCUUGUCGAAACAAUUACGGCACACAUUGUUAGACAAACAACUGUCCAGAUUCAAUAAGUCUUUACAUGCACUCGUUUUUGUUGAUACAUUGAACAGCUUUCGGCGCUUACUUGGGUCAGUUAUUUCGUUUCCACACUCGGUGCAAACUGUUUCAUUCGAGGACAAAGAAAUAUCAAUUCUUGAGAAUGUUUUUGUAGACCCAUUGUCGGCGCGGUGAAGUAAUUGUAUGAAAUGUACACACCCUUUUUAUGUCAAAAUUAUUCGCGCCAAAAUUUGUAAUGCGAUUUAAAUUCCUGCAAGGGACACAAGUCGACCACUCGCGACUUCGUCGCUAGGGUCGCGCGUUCCCUCCCCCGCGCCCUCCCUCCCCCAUGGUCGGCUUGUGGCAAGUCUAGCUACAAACCUAUUGCAAACACAUCUUGUUGACAAGUUGUUGGAACAGCAUUGUCACAACUUGUUAACAAGCUUGCUACAAGCCUGUUGAGGAGAUAUCUUGUUGACAAGUUGUUGGAACAGCAUUGUCACAACUUGUUAACAAUCUUGCUGCAAACCUAUUGCAAACACAUCUUAUUGACAAGUUGUUGGAUCAGCUUUGUCACAAGUCACAACUUGUUAACAAGCUUGCUACAAACCUGUUGAGGAGUCAUCUUGUUAACAAGUUGUUGGAACAGCAUUGUCAGAACUUGUUAACAAACUUGCUACAAACCUACACACGUAAAAACGCACAAGUUGUGACACGUCUGUUCACAAGCUGUCAACAAAUUGUACUCGCACUGCUUGUUCCCAGUUUGUUGUAACAAGUUUGAAACAAGCUGUUAACAACUUGUAAAAACUUGAUGGCAUUAUCAGCCUUGUUACAAGAUUGUGCUAACAAGUUUGUUACAGCCAUGAUAUAACAAGGAUGUUACAAGGUUGUCAACACAAGGUUGUAACAAUCUUGUUAUAUCAAGCAUGUCACAGACUUGUCAGAACAACCUUGCAACGAGUCUGAUAAUUUCGACAAGGUUGUUACAAGUUGUCAACAAGUUGUUCCAAACCUGUUGACAACUUGUGGCAAGCAGUGCGAAUACAUCUUGUUAACAGCUUGUGAACAAACUUGUGCGUUUUUACGUGUGUACGGUAUCGCAAACACAUCUUGUUGAGAAGUUGUUGGAACCGCUUUGUCACAACUUGUUAACAAUCUUGCUACAAACCUAUUGCAAACACAUCUUAUUGACAAGUUGUUGGAUCAGCAUUGUCACAACUUGUUAACAAGCUUGCUACAAACCUGUUGAGGAGUCAUCUUGUUAACAAGUUGUUGGAACAGCAUUGUCAGAACUUGUUAACAAGCUUGCUACAAACCUGUUGAGGAGACAUCUUGUUGACAAGUUAUUCGAACAGCAUUGUGACAACGUUAACUAAAAUUCGCGCACCCAGCGCUGCGCAAAUUCUAGUACUGCGCAAAUUUUAAUAGAAGUAAGGUAUAUAAUAGAAGUAUGUAAUAUUAAUAUUGCCGUAAAACCUUAUUGAACUUUAAUUAGGCCAUAUUUUUGCAAAGCCGAUAGAUUCUGUUCAAACAAAUAUAGAAAAGUCAUGUUGUCCUUUCUGUACCAUGCGGUGACUGUGAGAAACAGUAUCUGCAUGGGUCAGUCCAGCCUGCGUAGCAGGCGUUUAGUGCGUGCGGGAGAAGAAAGGGCGUCGUUUAACGACGCCCUCUCUUCUCCCGCUCGCACUAGACGCCUGCUACGCAGGCUAGGGUUAGUCUAAACGUCAGUUUGGCACACGGCUAAAAGUAGGCUGUUUCGUUAUAUUGAUAUAGUCCUUAAAUAUCGAAAAUACCGACGAAAUAUCGAAAUUAUUUCCCGGUAACGUCUAGAGAACACGCGUUUAUCACAAAAGAUCACAACAGGACUACCCAGACAAGCGGCAGUUUAUUUUUAUAUUCGAUUAGUUUCACGCGACUUUGUUUGUUUUGCUGUUUUUGACGCGGUAUACGUUUUCUUUUGCGUUUGUGAUGCGGUAUAUUGACUAAUAAAACUACAUUUCGUAAUUUUGCUUGUUUUCAUAUUUUCGACAUUUGCAUAUUUCGAUAUCGAUAUACUGUAUCGAAAUUUUCCAAUACCGCAACAGCCUACGCCAACAAGAACCUCAAAAGGCUAUUCCAACUUUUAAAUAAGUGCAAAUCAUGGGAAUACUCGAGAGUCAUUACCACUAACAAUCCCUAUGGCCAAAGAUUUUAGUCAGAUCCGGGAAUAAUGAUGUAGUUUGCUCGAGUUCUAAUGAAUACAAUGUAUUUUUAGGAUUGUAUAAAGGGUAUCAAAGUCGGUGAUUUGGAUUCAUUUGGCCACCAUAUUAAAGCCAACUGUACAUUUUUGGCAUUCAAUACAGAUGGUGGU